GCAUUAAUGGGGUAGUGGUAACCUGGGUCGUUGCCAGAGUUACGUAAUCCUUCCCGAUUAGGAAAGCGGCUUGCUCGAUUCGACCCGCCCUGGGUUCGAUUCCCAGUUAAUGCA